rnacentral:rRNA from 1 species
GACGAACGCUGGCGGCGUGCCUAAUACAUGCAAGUCGAACGCAGUGGGGACGGGUGAGUAACACGUGGGUAACCUCCCAUCAGAGGGGAUAACCCUUGGAUACAGGUGCUAAACCGAUAUGGAUGUAGGGACCCGGGGUGCAUUCGCGAGUUGGUGGGGUAACGGCUCACCAAGGCCACGAUGCAUAGCCGACCUGAGAGGGUGAUCGGCCACCCUGGGACUGAGACACGGCCCAGACUCCUACGGGAGGCAGCAGUAGGGAAUCUUCGGCAAUGGACGAAAGUCUGACCGAGCAACGCCGCGUGAAUGAAGAAGGUUUUCGGAUCGUAAAGCACUGUUAUUAGAGAAGCGGUAGCUAAACAGAAAGCAACGGCUAACUACGUGCCAGCAGCCGCGGUAAUAC